GAAUUUUUAAACUUGCGAAUAAGGUUCGAAGCAAUUCAAAUUUAUUUCAUGACAUAUAAUAUUUAUUCGAAUCAAUUUGAAUCAUUUUAAAUUAUAUUAUUAGUUAUAAUAAAUCAAAAUACAACGAUAUUUUGACUAUAUGAUGAAUAUAUUGAGAAAUAAUACAAAUUAAGUAUGUAUAAUAUAAACGAGAAGCUAUAGGAGUUAGUUAAAUAAACACAAGUGUGAGGGUCAAAGUUAUAAAAAAAUUAGACGUAAACGAUCACGAAAGCCGAGAGAAUUAUUCGUAUAUUAUUUGUACGUUAUACGGCCUUAGAGUGUCAGAGAGUUCAGACGUUCGUAUUCAAGACAAGAAAUUUAAGCUAAAAACGGACUUGAAAUAAUAGAUUUGAGGUUAUGCAGUAACCAGACAAGGAAUGAAAAGAAAUAAUGAAUACCGAUGAAAACUGGCAAAAUUACACU